UUUCGCCAAGCCGAGGUCUCUUGGUUGCGGCACUGCUUCUGGCUCGGUGCCUGUAUUUUCUCGGUGCCUACAGCGCCCAGGUCGCCGAUCUGAGGGCUUCGGAGUACCGGCCGGGCGCGGUGGCUCACGCCUGUAAUCCCAGCACUUUGGGAGGCCGAGGCGGGCGGAUCAGGAGGUCAGGAGAUCGAGACCAUCCUGGCUAACACGGAAAUGUAGACUUAGGUGUAACAUGUACCGGUUUAGAUCUGACAGAGAUAUCACAAUUGUAGGAUUGCAUCUUUUAGCAAGGGCUUUGACUCCUGAGUCUAAAAAGGUCACUAACUCCCGCUAAAUUGAGAGCAAUUGAAGCCUCAUCUUCAGAUCUAGGAGAAGAUGAAAAUCAGAAUAAGCUGCAGUCAUGAGACAUGGCGCCAGAAAUUAAGACUAUUCAAACCCUCUAGUCCCAGGGACUAUUGAAGAAGAAGUGGGUGUGUAAGCUUAUAAGGUCUAGAUCUGUCACCCAGGCUGGAGUACAGUGGCAUAGUCCUAGCUCACUGCAACCUCCACCUCCCAGGCUCAAGUGAUCCUACCACCUCAGCCUCCUAAGAAGCUGGGACUAUAGAUGUGCACCAACACGCAUGGCUAAUUUUUGUAUUUUUUGUAGACACCGUGUUUCGCCAUGUUGCCCAGGCUGGUCUCAAACUCCUGAGCUCAAGCAGUCUGCCUGCCUAGACCGCCCAAAGUGCUGAGUUUACAGGUGCGAGCCACCACAGCCAGCCUAUAAAGUAAACGUGAAUAUCUAAGGAACACUGAUGCAAGACCAGCAUGUGGGACCCCAUGUAAGAUUAACAAUGUUUUCAUGGAUCAUUAACCCAUUCUUAUUAAAAAAAUUAUGAAAGAUUAUGAAAA
rnacentral:lncRNA from 1 species